rnacentral:rRNA from 1 species
CCAAUAGCGUAUAUUAAAGUUGUUGCAGUUAAAAAGCUCGUAGUUGAACUUCGGGAUUUGUUAAUUGGUCAGGCUUCACUGUCUGUACUGGUGUAACGAAUUCUUACCUUCUGAUGAAUCUUCAUGCCAUUCACUUGGUGCGGAGGGGAAUCAGGACUGUUACUUUGAAAAAAUUAGUGUGUUUAAAGCAGGCUAUUGCUCGAAUACUUUAGCAUGGAAUAAUAAAAUAGGACGGUUGGUUUUAUUUUGUUGGUUUCUAGGAUCACCGUAAUGAUUAAUAGGGAUAGUUGGGGGCAUUAGUAUUCAAUUGUCAGAGGUGAAAUUCUUGGAUUUAUUGAAGACUAACUACUGCGAAAGCAUUUGCCAAGGAUGUUUUCAUUAAUCAAGAACGAAAGUUAGGGGAUCGAAGACGAUCAGAUACCGUCGUAGUCUUAACCAUAAACUAUGCCGACUAGGGAUCGGACGAAGUUAAUUUUUAAAUGACUCGUUCGGCACCUUACG